UACGGAGGGAGCUAGCGUUGUUCGGAAUUACUGGGCGUAAAGCGCACGUAGGCGGCUUUGUAAGUUAGAGGUGAAAGCCCGGGGCUCAACUCCGGAACUGCCUUUAAGACUGCAUCGCUUGAAUCCAGGAGAGGUGAGUGGAAUUCCGAGUGUAGAGGUGAAAUUCGUAGAUAUUCGGAAGAACACCAGUGGCGAAGGCGGCUCACUGGACUGGUAUUGACGCUGAGGUGGCGAAAAGCGUGGGGAGCAAACGGG
rnacentral:rRNA from 1 species